GGCCUCGUAGCUCAGUUGGUUAGAGCAUUGGCUGUACUAAAGCCUUCCCCUUGCUGGCAUGGGUUCAAAUCCCACCGAGGCCG
rnacentral:tRNA from 1 species